rnacentral:rRNA from 1 species
GAUGAACGCUGGCGGCGUGCUUAACACAUGCAAGUCGAACGGAAAGGCCCUGCUUUUGUGGGGUGCUCGAGUGGCGAACGGGUGAGUAACACGUGAGUAACCUGCCCUUGACUUUGGGAUAACUUCAGGAAACUGGGGCUAAUACCGGAUAGGAGCUCCUGCUGCAUGGUGGGGGUUGGAAAGUUUCGGCGGUUGGGGAUGGACUCGCGGCUUAUCAGCUUGUUGGUGGGGUAGUGGCUUACCAAGGCUUUGACGGGUAGCCGGCCUGAGAGGGUGACCGGCCACAUUGGGACUGAGAUACGGCCCAGACUCCUACGGGAGGCAGCAGUGGGGAAUAUUGCACAAUGGGCGGAAGCCUGAUGCAGCAACGCCGCGUGCGGGAUGACGGCCUUCGGGUUGUAAACCGCUUUCGCCUGUGACGAAGCGUGAGUGACGGUAAUGGGUAAAGAAGCACCGGCUAACUACGCG